AAACAGCCAGACGCUCAGCAGACCCAGAGGGAUCUCUUUCCUCCUGAAUGGAUUCAACCUUCAGCAUGUUGUUUUUACUCCUGUUUGCCAGCUGGUUGGCCUCUUGUGCUGCAGAGACAGUGAUAAUAUUCUUCCAAACAGCUAUCAAAUCCCAACAUGAGCUGAAUGAAACUACACUUGCUCUACUCUUAAAGCAGCUUCGGGGAAUCAUCCAGGGAUAUCAACCAAACGCUGACUUCAGCCUCACGCUCAGGAACGUCACCAAAGUCUGAAACUGAACACAUUUCUCUCCCAUUACUUUGAGAUAAAAAAGAACAAAAAACAAAAAUCUAUAGCACUGCUGUCAAAUGCUGGAGAGGAGAGCAUUUAUUAGAUCUAAAUGAUAUUUAUCUGAGAAGAUAUGGGGAGCUUUUAUUAACUUUGUGGUUAAUCUAGAUGGGAUCAAAUGUUUGAACCGGAGAAGUUGUAGUUUCUGUAUAUAACAAAAAAAAUAACAUUACUUCAACAUUUAAUUUCUCUUUGGGGUUAAUAAAGUAUUUUUGAGUUAAUUUGAAUUAAAUAAAUGCAUUUAUGCAGAUAUUUUAAAAAAUAUUCUAUAA